rnacentral:lncRNA from 1 species
CCUAAGAGUUACCCGAAGCUCGGCAUCCGCGAUUGUCUAAGGGGCCUCCGAGACGUUCGGGCAGCGUCAGUCUUCAGCCGCCAAGCCGAGGAGAUCUGGGAAGGAGUCGGUGGGGAGCUUUGGGUUUGAGCUCCAGGAGCUCCGGAAGUGGCGAUGAGAGUCGGGCAGUCAGACUUCCAGUGAGGGCCCGCACAGGCGGGGCAUGGCUUAGGAGGAAUCCCAGGCUGCAGGCAUUCCUUGGCCCAGUGGCCAGGUUUUCAUCGCUUGAAGCAAAGUCCCAGAGGGGCUGUUGGAUGUUGCGUUUAGAUGCCUUGAAGUUCUUGCAGGUAGGCAGUGCAGCUGGGGUUUGUCUUAUGGCGGAGGCAAGCAUCUGUAGUUCUGAAAUGCGCUGUCGCCGGGCAGUCUCUUCCCUAUUAUUGAACACCUUGAAGGCGAGGUUGAUUAAUUCCUGUUGUGGGAUCUGAGAGCCAGACUCUAAUUUUUGAAGUUUCUUUCUACUGUCAGAAACUGACUGGGUAAUAAAAUGCAUGUUAAGAAUAAGGCGGCCUUCUAUCCCUUCAGGGUCUAGUGCUGUAUAUCGCCUGAGGGUGGCAGGUAGACAGGCCAUAAACUGAGCUGGAUUUUUAUCUUUGUUCUGAGUGGUUUUUUUUGUUUUUGUUUUUGUUUUUUAGUUUGUCAUAAUUGACGGCUUUAUAUGCAGCCUUCUGAAGCCCUUUAACUAGGCAAGAGAUCAUGUAGUCCCGCCUGGCUAUGCCUGGGUCCCAGGGCCUGGCUUCAAAAUGGUGAGAAGAUAAUGAGAAAAGGAAAGAAUCUAUGGAUAAGAAGUAAAGAAGGCAUUCCAAGAGAAGGAACAACGUGAAAAGAAACAAACUCAUGAAGGCCUGAGGCAUGAGCAUGUGUUGAGCAUUUGGGAAAGAACAAAGUCAUGUUAUAAGACCCUAUAAUGCUUGGCAAAAGAUAGUGGCAAGAAAGCUGGGGAAAAAAAGCUGGGAUGACAUGAUAAAGAAUUUUAUAUUUCAGUCAAAAUAAAUGUCAUUUCAUUGGAGCUUA